rnacentral:lncRNA from 1 species
UACUUUUUUUAAAUAAAUGUUUCUUUAUGUGUUUCCCUCAGUUCCUGCCCAGGCUGACUCUAUCAUACAAGCUGUAACUUCUGCCAGUCCUAUCACCCAGCAAACAGAAAUUCCACAGUAACAAAGACAGAAAGCUACUCUCACUCUUCUUUCUGCGGUUCAGGACCACUUUCUUUAAUUUGUUGCUGUUGAUACACGGAACCUGGUACAUGGGAGAGGUCCAAUUCAUCCUUGUUGAAUGAGUGACUACAGGAAUUUGUCAUCGAGCCCUGAAUGUGAGUUGGUGUUGGUGAUAGGGAAAGUCUCUUGCUCACCUUUGUACUAGUGAAUUGGGAUUGUAUUGGUGAUUGAAUGUUGGAACUCAGCAUUGAUCCUGCAGCUAAUCUAAGGAUGCUGGUGAUAUUGCAACUGCAGAUACUACAGUACCACUAAACACACAGCAGCACCACCAAGCACUAUCCCA